ensembl:lncRNA
CUGAAAGAUACACAUCCAUGUAAAUGUUAUAAUAGUACAUGUCUAGCUUGUCUUUCAUUUAUGCUAUGAAAGCAUCAUCUCGCCAAAUCCUCUGUAUUGUGAAAUCUGAUUUUGCAUCAGUCACAAAGUCACACCAGUGUAGACCAGUACCUGCAAGCUGACCUUGUACCUGCCAGUAGGACUUAGGGGUCUCUUUAAGUUUGGCUAGUCCUCUUUGAAUUUUCAUAAAUGUAACCUGAGUAAUGCUGUCAGCAGAUGUGCUUUUUACCUCCACUAAUCCAAAUUGGAAUGUUUCAGAUGGAUCGUGCACUUAAAAUAUAAUAUAUCAGACACCGCUUACCUCCUUUUGCCAUCAAUCAACCAUUAUAUACCACUUCCUCUGAACCGCGUGUGUGUGACGUCACCUGGGGCAGGGCAACGCGAUACUCCACCUGAGUCCAUUUUGUAUGAUGCCUUUUUGUCUGAGUCCGUUUCGUCUGAUGCCUUUUUGUCUGAUGCAUUUUAGUCUGAGUCCGUUUCAUCUGAUGCUUUUUUUGUCUGAGUCCGUCUGUUUUGUCUGAUGCCUUUUUGUCUGAUGCCUUUUUGUCUGAGUCCGUUUCAUCUGAUGCCUUUUUGUCUGAGUCCAUUUCAUCUGAUGCCUUUUUGUCUGAGUCCGUUUCGUCUGAUGCCUGUUUGUCUGAUGCCUUUUAGUCUGAGUCCGUUUCGUCUGAUGCCUUUUUGUCUGAGUCCGUUUCGUCUGAUGCUUUUUUUGUCUGAGUCUGUCUGUUUCGUCAGAUGCCUUUUUGUCUGAUGCCUUUUUGUCUGAGUCUCUUUGGUCUGCUGCCUUUUUGUCUGAUGCCUUUUAGUCUGAGUCCGUUUCGUCUGAUGCCUUUUUGACUGAUGCCUUUUAGUCUGAGUCCGUUUCAUCUGAUGCUUUUUUUGUCUGAGUCCGUCUGUUUCGUCUGAUGCCUUUUUGUCUGCGUCCGUUUUGUCUGAUGCCUUUUUGUCUGAGUCCAUUUCGUCUGAUGCCUAAUUGUAUUAGACCUGACAGCUUUUUCCUGAGACCUGAAGCUUUUCAGUCUGAGGCGCGAUGCCAUUUUGUCCAAUGACCGAAGCCUUUUAAUCUGAGGCAUGACGCCUUUAUAUUUAAGGACUGAGGUCUGAGGAUGUCCUAAA